rnacentral:rRNA from 1 species
UACGAAGGGUGCAAACGUUGCUCGGAAUUAUUGGGCGUAAAGCGCACGUAGGCGGCUUGGCAAGUCGGAUGUGAAAUCCCUCGGCUCAACCAAGGAAGUGCAUCCGAAACUGCCGAGCUUGAGUACUUAAGAGGAUCGCGGAAUUCCCGGUGUAGAGGUGAAAUUCGUAGAUAUCGGGAGGAACACCCGUGGCUAAGGCGGUUCUCUAGUACGGUACUGACGCUGAGACGCGAAAGCGUGGGGAGCGAACAGG